rnacentral:rRNA from 1 species
AGUGAACGCUGGCGGUAGGCCUAACACAUGCAAGUCGAACGGCAGCACAGUAAGAGCUUGCUCUUACGGGUGGCGAGUGGCGUACGGGUGAGGAAUACAUCGGAAUCUACUUUUUCGUGGGGGAUAACGUAGGGAAACUUACGCUAAUACCGCAUACGACCUACGGGUGAAAGCCGGGGAUCUUCGGACCUUGCGCGAUUGAAUGAGCCGAUGUCGGAUUAGCUAGUUGGCGGGGUAAAGGCCCACCAAGGCGACGAUCCGUAGCUGGUCUGAGAGGAUGAUCAGCCACACUGGAACUGAGACACGGUCCCGACUCCUACGGGAGGCAGCAGUGGGGAAUAUUGGACAAUGGGCGCAAGCCUGAUCCAGCCAUACCGCGUGGGUGAAGAAGGCCUUCGGGUUGUAAAGCCCUUUUGUUGGGAAAGAAAAGCAGCAGGUUAAUACCCCGCUGUUCUGACGGUACCCAAAGAAUAAGCACCGGCUAACUUCGUG